rnacentral:lncRNA from 1 species
GCAAGGGCAAGGUCCCGAGUUCGAUCCCCAGUAAAAAAAAAAAAAAAAAAAGUAAAAAUCCAUUUGCCUGUUUUCUGAUCAUAGAGAACUGUGGAAGGGUAAGCCCUGAGCAGUUCACAGUGACCAUUGAGAGGCGUGCAGGAGGGGAGCUCCAUUUCUUGCUUUCAGAGUUUCUGUUGUUUGAAAAGUACCAGCAGCACGUCUCAUUUUGUAAUUCACAGAAGAGGGAAGGAGGGAAGUGGGCAGGAGGAUUGGCAGCCUGAAGACCCCUGCUCCAGUGCUGCCUUCUCUUUAGAGGCCUCCCUGAUGUCCCCCGUUUGUCCCAUAGGCAGCUCAACUCAACUUCUCUUUCGGCCACUCUGGUCUCUGAAGACCUUCCUGGUGGGCUCUCUUUUCUGGGCUUCAGCAAUUGCUCAGGCUCCCUGUUAGAAGGCCAAGGGUCCUACCCUUGUGGUUGCUCCUGAGGGGCUGAGACAAGGUGACAUCACAGGCCUGUGGCAUCACAGUUAGGCCUAUGAUGUCACAGGAGAUGGAAGCCAGCAGGACAGGAUCUAGGAGAUCCUGGGCACAGGAAGAGGCUGUUUGGUGUGGGAACUUGAAGACUGGAAGGACAUUUCCUAGCCGAGCAGGGGACUUUCAGGAUUGAGAGCUAGAAGUUCCUAUAGACAUUUCUCUUUUUGUUUUCCAAGCAAAUGUAAUAGUAACUUUUCUGAGUAUUGGGGGCUGUGACCCCAGGAAGGGGUGGAGUUGCCAGAUGGAAACCAAAGAUGUGUGGAUCCCCUUGGAGGUAGACCUCUGGGAUACUUGCUGUGUGGCUCUGGCAGCUUCAAACAUCGCACCUUCCUGUCAUCUCUCACACCACUGGGGCCUCAGUCACAGGCAGCUGCUGUCCUCCUGCCCACCUCCUUCCUUCCUCAGCCAAGAGGACCGCCGCAGAGCCAGAUGCAGAGACACACAGGUCACCUUUGGGCUCACAGUACUUGAGACCUGA